CCCCCCCAAUGGAUUGUGUUGACGCGCGAGGCGCCCGCUACGGCUCAGGCGGGGCUCCUACACCGCGAGGGGCGACGGCAUGAGGCCCGACAAGGGGCAUCCGGUGGGGCGACAGCAUGAGUCAAGAAAGGACAGCUGCGUGGUGCCGUGGCGAUGGGGGGUCCAAUGAGGGGCGACCCUUGCUCAACAACGAUGAGCUUGACGGUCCCGUCCGCAAUGUCCACUUCCACGCCAUCCAGUUUCUCUUUGUCAUGUCCGGAGGUGGAAACUAGCUACCUCUCUCAACCCCCCCCCCCCCCGGCCCCUGCCCUCGAUGGGAUCCAAGCUCGUUGCCGUCAGGAUCGAGCUCCUCCGCAUGGGAUAGAGCUCGUGGACCCCGGGAUCAAGCUCCUCCACGCAAGAUCGUCUCCCUAUCGUUGGGGUCGGGCUCCUUCACGCGGGAUGGAGCUCCUCGUCAUCGGGGUUGGGCUCCUCCGCGCCUUAUCGAGCUCAUCGGCGUAGGGUUGAGCUCUUCGUCGUCAUGGCCAUGUAGCUCCCCGUGUGGUCGAGGCAGGGAUGACUUGGAAGAGCAGGACGGUGGCAGUUUGGGCUCCAUGGCGCUGAACUGAGUUUAGAUAAUGGCAAGGUCGAAUAAGAAAAAGGAUAUUGCAUCAACACCACGUAGCAAUUGUCCUGGCAGGUGGAAGAAUAGGGUGUAGUUUAAUUGUUCCAUUGAAUGGAAACAUAAUUCAAUAUCUGGUGGUACAAGCAUUGCAUCUAAAUCAAUUUUAGCUGCUUCUAAGAGUACAUGUGAAGUGAUGCAAUCUCUGUUUUAUGAAAUCAAAAGGCGUUAUCUGUAGCUAAAGAAACUUUAAGAACAUUGGCUAGUACUUCAGUCUAUGUUUGAUCCUUGUAACUAUGUAGCAAAUCAGAGUAAUUUUGUGUAGCAAUCUAUAAUUACUAUUUUUAUAAGCAAUCAAUAGAUGUCUUUACGGCAGAUUAGUUCGCCAUA